rfam:TPA: Aspergillus nidulans FGSC A4 chromosome VIII
GCCCUUAUAGCUCAGUGGUAGAGCGUUGCACUUGUACUAGCCUAGCUUGUACCGCGAUGCAAAGGUCCAUCGUUCAAUCCGGUGUGGGGGCA